rnacentral:rRNA from 2 species
UCAGGACGAACGCUGGCGGCGUGCUUAACACAUGCAAGUCGAACGGGAUUUAGUAGACAGAAGCUUCGGUGGAAGAUUACUAAUGAGAGUGGCGAACGGGUGAGUAACGCGUGAGCAACCUGCCUAUGACAGUGGGAUAGCCUCGGGAAACCGGGAUUAAUACCGCAUAAAAUCGUAGAAACACAUGUUUUAACGGUCAAAGAUUUAUCGGUCAUAGAUGGGCUCGCGUCUGAUUAGCUAGUUGGUGAGAUAACAGCCCACCAAGGCGACGAUCAGUAGCCGGUCUGAGAGGAUGAACGGCCACAUUGGAACUGAGACACGGUCCAAACUCCUACGGGAGGCAGCAGUAGGGAAUAUUGCACAAUGGGGGAAACCCUGAUGCAGCGACGCCGCGUGAACGAAGAAGGUAUUCGUAUCGUAGAGUUCUGUCCUAUGGGAAGAUAAUGACCAGUACCCAUAGAAGAAAGCUCCGGCUAAAUACGUGCCAGCAGCCGCGGUAAUACGUAUGGAGCGAGCGUUGUCCGGAAUUAUUGGGCGUAAAGGGUACGCAGGCGGUUUAAUAAGUCGAAUGUUAAAGAUCGGGGCUCAACCCCGUAAAGCAUUGGAAACUGAUAAACUUGAGUAGUGGAGAGGAAAGUGGAAUUCCUAGUGUAGUGGUGAAAUACGUAGAUAUUAGGAGGAAUACCAGUAGCGAAGGCGACUUUCUGGACACAAACUGACGCUGAGGUAC